AAAACGUCAACAAACACAAACGCCCUAGCCAGCCGCGUAGGCUACUUGGAUUAUUUAUAAUGGCUAAAAUACAGUUGUUGACAAUGUUUCUCAACCAGCGCUUAACAGCAGCUGCUAAUGAGAUAUUUGGGGCUGUUGAGAAAACGAUAGCAGGGUACCUGGAAGAAGUGUAUCGUUCAACAGAGGAGAACGGCCUCUACAGAGGCAGCUUGAUAUCGUUCUCAAACCACCAGAGAUAAAAUUACAUAGGACAGACUUUCAGCAGCUCUCUCUCACUGUCUUCGAAGAGGAGGUUUCCCUUGAGCAGGAGUGGAGCCCUGGGGCAAGAAGUCUGGGGCAAGAAGACCCAGAGCCCACACAGAUUAAAGAGGAACAACAAGUGCAACACAGGACCCGUCAGGAGGAAGAGUUUCAUAAUGACACCUUCAUAAUUAGCUCUGACUGUGUGAAAAGUGACUAUGAUCAGGAAGAGGACUUAUGUCAGCCCUCACAUCUUUACCAAACCCAAAGUGAGGAAUAUGGACAGGGAGCCUCUCUACCUGGCACCUCAUUGGAACAGAUCAAAGCUGAACCUGAUGGAGAGGGCUACAGAGUAUUAGACUGAGUGACUCUCAGCCCCUCUCUGCAGUAAAUCCAGACUGUUCUCCAAUCCCAAGUGAGUUGUCAAAGAAGAGGAAACAGAACCUUGGAUUACGUUUAAGACACUCAAAUCAAAGAAAGCACAGAAAAUAACAAGCCAAAUCUCCGGUAUCUGGAAAAAAGGAAGGAAAUCCAGUCUCAUCCCAUUUUAGCCCACACUGUCAAAACCUGUUGGUGUGUGUGGAAAUAAAUGUUACUCUGAGUUUUUUAAUAAAACAUACACGAGAACAAACACGAUACAGACCUAGAUUGCCUUUGUGGUGUCUGUGGAAAACACUUUGAGUCCAAAGAAAUUCUUAUAGACGAUCUCCAAACUCGCAUGAAAAAUAUUUUUUGUCACUUAUGUGGUCAAUGUUUCAACUGGACUAGUAAUCUGAAAAGACAUAUCAUGAUUCACACAUGGGAAAGAUCCCAUUGUUGCAGUGACUGUGGCAAAGGCUUCAGGUCGGGUGAUUUGUCUGACAAAGCAUAGGAGUAUUCACACGAUGACAAACCGUUUCCUUGCUCGGUUUGUCAUCGUGUUUUUAACAGACGAGAUAACCUGAAAGUGCAUAUGAGAGUUCACACAGGGAGAGAGACCCUAUAUGUGUUCUGAAUGCUAUAAAUGUUUUGCCACGUUAGCUUCACUGAAUAAGCACCAGACAAUGCACAAUGAGGAAUGACCGUAUGUGUGCACUGAUUGCGGUACACGCUUCAAAGCGCUUGAAUCCCAAAGAAGGCACACGAAGAGUGUUCACAAGAAGGAGCAUACAUGACAAUGCCUUGUAUGGGGUUAUGGUAUCAGACAGAAGAUUGAGGCACAUUCUAACCAACAUUGGACAGGAGAACAGCCCUUCAGGACAAAUGCAUUGCAUUAUGGAAUCAGCACAGUAGUAUCCAUUAGUUAGUUUACCAACUGCAAAUAGCAGACAGAGGUUAUUUAUGUGCAUAAAGGGACGCAUUCUGUAUCUUGUUGACAGCCAAGCUAAUUUAAAAAAAAUAUAUAUAAAUCCACAGUCGGACGCAUUUAAUUGGCUGGGAUGCUGGAUCCGGCCUAACCCAAAUCCAGGCCUACGUAAACCCAACCACAGAAGUGAUCUGUUUAGAUUAGAUCUAAUGUUGACCUGUUAUGAUGGGAAUUAAAAUUAUCUUCUCAACAUUCUGAAUCAAGUUAGCAUUUUUGGCCUCCAUUUCAACUAGUGAUUCAAUUGUGUACUAUUCUGCUUUUCUCCAUUCCCAUUGGUGAUUGAGAGACUUCCAUGGCACGUUUGGUCUUUGACUGUGAUGCUGCAGACUGAACCAAAGCUAUUAUCUGCAAGGUUCUGAACAUUUCACAUGACUGUAUACACACGACGACAUUCUUCAAAAACGACUCGACAUGAUUUCAAAAUUCAAUGAGAAACAACAGAAUUUCAACCAAUCAUGUAUUUUUUAUUGGUUAGCUAUUAACAAGAGUUACACUGACUUACAACUUGCUGUUCAAAACAAGAAGUUUCACAUAAUGCUGCAUUCUCACCUGCAGCUCAUCAUAAAAUGCAUAACAUGGCUGAAAAAUAUGACUAUAUAUCAAGACAUUCGAGAUUCUGAUAUGGUGGUGUUGUUCCAGACAGUCUUUUUUUUCAAUGGGGAUACACAUCUUGGAAGAUUAAAACACAUAGCAGCACUUCACCAGGCUUUGUGAGAUCUGAUCAUCUGCAACAUGAUUGAAAUAAACACAACCUGGAACGGACCCAUUUUCCACUCUAACUUCACCUCCCUGAGCAUGACAAAGUCAGGAAUUGCUUGGCUCAUUUCGCUUUCACUCAAAGACAAACAGAAACAACAAUAACAGACAAUGAUAAAUAAAAAACAAUGAACAAAGAUUGUAUUUAUAUCAA